rnacentral:miRNA from 1 species
AUACAGCAUUUAUUAGUCGGC